ACACCUGGUUGAGGUCACUGGAAAACACAACACAGCUUUUUUGUGCUUUAGACAAAUCCAUCAAUCAGUCCAGCUGUGGUUAGAACCAGGUGUGUCCCCCACUUAUUAUCAUCAUCAUCCUGUUCCGUUUGAAUAGAGAUGGAAUUUGGCAUUAUGUACAGUAUGUACAAACACACACAAGGAAAACCAGUCUGAAACAGUUGUCUCUUGGACAGUGUGUUAAGAAAUCAGUAGUAAAACACGGACAACAGUUUAGAACCCUGAAUCAGACAGAGCUCACAGAAAAUACACAUGAAAACAGGUUGCAGGGAUUUUUAACUCAUUUUUCAUCGCAGAUAGCACGAAGUGUAGCAGUAAGACAGAAAUACCAUCCAAUAACGUUGGGUUAAGGCAAUUCAGAAUUAGCAAUGAAGUAAAAACUGUAAAUGAUGUGAUUUGAAGUCGAUCCCUAAAAGCAAACUUAAAUAAAGACAGGAAGUGUAUUAGAGGUGAUCUGUGACGCUCAGACAGUCCAGCAUCAAGACGGUCCAUGUAUCUACAGUGACAAAAACAUGUGGCUCAGCAUUACUCUGAUUACUCUGUAAAACUUUAGGACCACAGUACAUACUUGCAUCCACAAAUGCACGCUAAAAGUUUACAGCGCAAA